GUCCACGCCCUAAACGAUGUCUACUAGUUGUCGGGUCUUAAUUGACUUGGUAACGCAGCUAACGCGUGAAGUAGACCGCCUGGGGAGUACGGUCGCAAGAUUAAACUCAAAGGAAUUGACGGGACCCGCACAAGCGGUGGAUGAUGUGGAUUAAUUCGAUGCAACGCGAAACCUUACCUACCCUUGACAUGGCUGGAAUCCCCGAGAGAUUGGGGAGUGCCCGAAAGGGAACCAGUACACAGGUGCUGCAUGGCUGUCGU
rnacentral:rRNA from 1 species